rnacentral:rRNA from 1 species
CCUACGGGAGGCUGCAGUGAGGAAUAUUGGUCAAUGGACGAGAGUCUGAACCAGCCAAGUAGCGUGAAGGAUGACUGCCCUAUGGGUUGUAAACUUCUUUUAUCUGGGAAUAAAAUGUUCCACGUGUGGGCUCUUGUAUGUUCCCUAUAAAUAAGGCUCGGCUAACUCCGUGCCAGCAGCCGCGGUAAUACGGAGGAUCCGAGCGUUAUCCGGAGUUAUUGGGGUUAAAGGGAGCGUAGGUGGAUUGUUAAGUCAGUUGUGAAAGUUUGCGGCUCAACCGGAAUAUUGCAGUUGAAACUGGCAGUCUUGAGUACAGGAGAGGUAGGCGGAAUUCGUGGUGUAGCGGUGAAAUGCUUAGAUAUCACGAAGAACUCCGAUUGCGAAGGUAGCUCACUGGACUGCAACUGACACUGAGGCUCGAAAGUGUGGGGAUCGAACAGGAUUAGAUACCCGAGUAGUC